rnacentral:rRNA from 1 species
UCAUCUCCGGGGGUAGAGCACUGUUUCGGCAAGGGGGUCAUCCCGACUUACCAACCCGAUGCAAACUGCGAAUACCGGAGAAUGUUAUCACGGGAGACACACGGCGGGUGCUAACGUCCGUCGUGAAGAGGGAAACAACCCAGACCGCCAGCUAAGGUCCCAAAGUCAUGGUUAAGUGGGAAACGAUGUGGGAAGGCCCAGACAGCCAGGAUGUUGGCUUAGAAGCAGCCAUCAUUUAAAGAAAGCGUAAUAGCUCACUGGUCGAGUCGGCCUGCGCGGAAGAUGUAACGGGGCUAAACCAUGCACCGAAGCUGCGGCAGCGACGCUGAUGCGUUGUUGGGUAGGGGAGCGUUCUGUAAGCCUGCGAAGGUGUGCUGUGAGGCAUGCUGGAGGUAUCAGAAGUGCGAAUGCUGACAUAAGUAACGAUAAAGCGGGUGAAAAGCCCGCUCGCCGGAAGACCAAGGGUUCCUGUCCAACGUUAAUCGGGGCAGGGUGAGUCGACCCCUAAGGCGAGGCCGAAAGGCGUAGUCGAUGGGAAACAGGUUAAUAUUCCUGUACUUGGUGUUACUGCGAAGGGGGGACGGAGAAGGCUAUGUUGGCCGGGCGACGGUUGUCCCGGUUUAAGCGUGUAGGCUGGUUUUCCAGGCAAAUCCGGAAAAUCAAGGCUGAGGCGUGAUGACGAGGCACUACGGUGCUGAAGCAACAAAUGCCCUGCUUCCAGGAAAAGCCUCUAAGCAUCAGGUAACAUCAAAUCGUACCCCAAACCGACACAGGUGGUCAGGUAGAGAAUACCAAGGCGCUUGAGAGAACUCGGGUGAAGGAACUAGGCAAAAUGGUGCCGUAACUUCGGGAGAAGGCACGCUGAUAUGUAGGUGAAGUCCCUUGCGGAUGGAGCUGAAAUCAGUCGAAGAUACCAGC